rnacentral:rRNA from 1 species
GAGACGAUUGACCACUUACUCCUUGGAUGCGUGUUUGUGAGACAGGUCUGGUCGGUCAUUACAGACAAUUGGGGCAAACCCCAAUGGACUCCAACUCACGGAGUGAAGCUAGUUCAAUGGUGGACAUCUUUGGGCAUAGAGAUGAGGAUGAUGAAGGAAGCUUGGGCGGUGAUCACUUUGGUGGCAUGGACUAUUUGGAAGCACAGAAAUGACGUCGUCUUCAAUGGCACAUUGCCUUCCGUUGACGUGGUGGUCAAGCAGAUCAACGCGGAAGGAGAGAACUGGAGGCCUGCGUCGCUAUUACGGCAGCCAGGAUCGCUCCCAGUCAGAGUAGAUAGGUUGGAUAGUAGCGAGUAA